rnacentral:rRNA from 1 species
UACGAAGGGAGCUAGCGUUGUUCGGAAUCACUGGGCGUAAAGCGCACGUAGGCGGAUGUGUCAGUCAGGGGUGAAAUCCCGGAGCUCAACUUCGGAACUGCCCUUGAUACAGCACGUCUGAGUCCGGAAGAGGUGGGUGGAAUUCCUAGUGUAGAGGUGAAAUUCGUAGAUAUUAGGAAGAACACCGGUGGCGAAGGCGGCCCACUGGUCCGGUACUGACGCUGAGGUGCGAAAGCGUGGGGAGCAAACAGG